rnacentral:rRNA from 1 species
CCUACGGGAGACAGCAGUAGGGAAUCUUGCACAAUGGGCGAAAGCCUGAUGGAGCAACGCCGCGUGUGUGAAGAAGGUCUUCGGAUCGUAAAGGCCUGUUGUCAGAGAAGAAAGUGCGUGAGAGUAUCUGUUCGCGUUUCGACGGUAUCUAACGAGUAAGCCACGGCUAACUACGUGCCAGCAGCCGCGGUAAUACGUAGGUGGCAAGCGUUAUCCGGAUUUACUGGGCGUAAAGGGAACGCAGGCGGUUUUUUAAGUCGGAUGUGAAAUCCUCCGGCUUAACCGGAGUAGUGCAUUGUAAACGGGGUGACUAGAGUGUAGAAGAGGAGGGUAGAACUCCAUGUGUAGCAGUGAAAUGCGUAGAUAUGUGGAAGAACACCAGUGGCGAAGGCAGCCCUCUGGUAUGUCACUGACGUUGAGGUUCGAAAGCGUGGGUAGCAAACAGGAUUAGAUACCCCGGUAGUC